rnacentral:rRNA from 1 species
AGUGAACGCUGGCGGUAGGCCUAACACAUGCAAGUCGAACGGCAGCACAGUAAGAGCUUGCUCUUACGGGUGGCGAGUGGCGGACGGGUGAGGAAUACAUCGGAAUCUACUUUUUCGUGGGGGAUAACGUAGGGAAUCUUACGCUAAUACCGCAUACGACCUACGGGUGAAAGCAGGGGAUCUUCGGACCUUGCGCGAUUGAAUGAGCCGAUGUCGGAUUAGCUAGUUGGCGGGGUAAAGGCCCACCAAGGCGACGAUCCGUAGCUGGUCUGAGAGGAUGAUCAGCCACACUGGAACUGAGACACGGUCCAGACUCCUACGGGAGGCAGCAGUGGGGAAUAUUGGACAAUGGGCGCAAGCCUGAUCCAGCCAUGCCGCGUGGGUGAAGAAGGCCUUCGGGUUGUAAAGCCCUUUUGUUGGGAAAGAAAAGCAGCAGGUUAAUACCCCGCUGUUCUGACGGUACCCAAAGAAUAAGCACCGGCUAACUUCGUG